rnacentral:rRNA from 1 species
AUACCCUGCUUCCAGGAAAAGCCUCUAAGCUUCAGUCAUAGAGUGACCGUACCGCAAACCGACACAGGUGGGCUGGUAGAGAAUACCAAGGCGCUUGAGAGAACUCAGGAGAAGGAACUCGGCAAAUUGAUACCGCAACUUCGGGAGAAGGUAUGCCCCGUUAGCUUGUAGGAGUACAUCCGAAGGGCGAAGGGGCCGCAGAGAAUCGGUGGCUGCGACUGUUUAUUAAAAACACAGCACUGUGCAAACACGAAAGUGGACGUAUACGGUGUGACGCCUGCCCGGUGCCGGAAGGUUAAGUGAUGGGGUGCAAGCUCUUGAUCGAAGCCCCGGUAAACGGCGGCCGUAACAAUAACGGUCCUAAGGUAGCGAAAUUCCUUGUCGGGUAAGUUCCGACCUGCACGAAUGGCGUAACGAUGGCCACACUGUCUCCUCCUGAGACUCAGCGAAGUUGAAAUGUUUGUGAAGAUGCAAUCUACCCGCGGCUAGACGGAAAGACCCCAUGAACCUUUACUGUAGCUUUGCAUUGGACUUUGACGGGAUUUGUGUAGGAUAGGUGGGAGGCUAUGAAACCAGGACGCUAGUUCGGGUGGAGCCAACCUUGAAAUACCACCCUGGUGUCGUCGAGGUUCUAACCCAGGUCUGUGAAUCCAGAUCGGGGACCGCGCAUGGUGGGCAGUUUGACUGGGGCGGUCUCCUCCUAAAGCGUAACGGAGGAGUACGAAGGUCACCUAGGUACGGUCGGACAUCGUACUGAUAGUGCAAUGGCAAAAGGUGGCUUGACUGCGAGACCCACAAGUCGAGCAGGUGCGAAAGCAGGUCAUAGUGAUCCGGUGGUUCUGUAUGGAAGGGCCAUCGUUCAACGGAUAAAAGGUACUCUGGGGAUAACAGGCUGAUUCCGCCCAAGAGUUCACAUCGACGGCGGAGUUUGGCACCUCGAUGUCGGCUCAUCACAUCCUGGGGCUGUAGCCGGUCCCAAGGGUAUGGCUGUUCGCCAUUUAAAGUGGUACGUGAGCUGGGUUUAAAACGUCGUGAGACAGUUUGGUUCCUAUCUGCCGUGGGCGCUGGAAGUUUGAGAGGGCUUGCUCCUAGUACGAGAGGACCGGAGUGAACGCACCCCUGGUGUACCGGUUGUGACGCCAGUCGCAUCGCCGGGUAGCUAUGUGCGGAAGAGAUAACCGCUGAAAGCAUCUAAGCGGGAAACUCGCCUCAAGAUGAGACUUCCCCGGGGCCUCGAGCCCCCUGAAGGGUCGUUGAAGACCACAACGUUGAUAGGUCGGGUGUGGAGGCGUGGCAACACGUUAAGCUAACCGAAACUAAUUGCCCGUGUGGCUUGAUC